AUUGAACGCUGGCGGCAUGCCUUACACAUGCAAGUCGAACGGCAGCACGGGUGCUUGCACCUGGUGGCGAGUGGCGAACGGGUGAGUAAUACAUCGGAACAUGUCCUGUAGUGGGGGAUAGACCGGCGAAAGCCGGAUUAAUACCGCAUACGAUCUACGGAUGAAAGCGGGGGACCUUCGGGCCUCGCGCUAUAGGGUUGGCCGAUGGCUGAUGAGCUAGUUGGGGGGGUAAAGGCCUACCCAGGCGACGAUCAGUAGAUGGUCUGAGAGGACGACCAGCCACACUGGGACUGAGACACGGACCAGACUCCUAAGGGAGGCAGCAGUGGGGAAUGUUGGACAAUGGGCGAAAGCCUGAUCCAGCAAUGCCGCGUGUGUGAAGAAGGCCUUCGGGUUGUAAAGCACUUUUGUCCGGAAAGAAAUCCUUGGCUCUAAUACAGUCGGGGGAUGACGGUACCGGAAGAAUAAGCACCGGCUAACUACGUG
rnacentral:rRNA from 1 species